AGCCCUAAGUGGGUGGUAAACUCCAUCUAAGGCUAAAUAUGACCACGAGACCGAUAGCGAACAAGUACCGUGAGGGAAAGUUGAAAAGCACUUUGAAGAGAGAGUUCAAGAGUACGUGAAACCGUUUAGGGGUAAACCUGAGAAACCCGAAAGGUCGAAGGGAGAAAUUCAUUCGCGUUUCGCUGUAGGCGUGAGACGGUCGAGUGACGGGUUGCGUUCGCGUAACCCGCACCUUCCGUUUUUCGAUCCGGCGGCGAACGCGUGCACUUUUCUCCUGGUAGGACGUCGCGAUCCGUUGAGUGUCGGUCUACGGCUCGUGGUGGAGCUCGGACGUACGGCUUGCCGUCUCACGUCCGGACCCACGUGUCCCGGCCGACUCGCUCGACGGUAUACGAAAGGUUCAAGGCCGCUUUCAGAGCGUUCGACUCGUGGCAAGCGCGUCAGAUGCGUCGGUGAUCGGACCCAGUGCCGAUUCUGACCUCUGGCGACUGUUGGCCGCGAUGUUCUCGAACAGACCUUAGACCGAUCUGCGACGCUAUUGUUUUGGGUACUUUCAG
rnacentral:rRNA from 1 species